CAUGAGUUAUGUCAUGUUAUCGAUAUGUGAAUACAUAGCAUAUCAGAAGGCACACCCGGAGAACUGAAACAUCUUAGUACCCGGAGGAAGAGAAAGAAAAUUCGAUUCCCUUAGUAGCGGCGAGCGAAACGGGAAGAGCCCAAACCAACAAGCUUGCUUGUUGGGGUUGUAGGACACUCUAUACGGAGUUACAAAGGACGACAUUAGACGAAUCAUCUGGAAAGAUGAAUCAAAGAAGGUAAUAAUCCUGUAGUCGAAAAUGUUGUCUCUCUUGAGUGGAUCCUGAGUACGACGGAGCACGUGAAAUUCCGUCGGAAUCUGGGAGGACCAUCUCCUAAGGCUAAAUACUCUCUAGUGACCGAUAGUGAACCAGUACCGUGAGGGAAAGGUGAAAAGCACCCCGGAAGGGGAGUGAAAUAGAACCUGAAACCGUGUGCUUACAAGUAGUCAGAGCCCGUUAAUGGGUGAUGGCGUGCCUUUUGUAGAAUGAACCGGCGAGUUACGAUUUGAUGCAAGGUUAAGCAGUAAAUGUGGAGCCGUAGCGAAAGCNNNNNNNNNNNNNNNNNNNNNNNNNNNNNNNNAGUCUGAAUAGGGCGUUUAGUAUUUGGUCGUAGACCCGAAACCAGGUGAUCUACCCUUGGUCAGGUUGAAGUUCAGGUAACACUGAAUGGAGGACCGAACCGACUUACGUUGAAAAGUGAGCGGAUGAACUGAGGGUAGCGGAGAAAUUCCAAUCGAACCUGGAGAUAGCUGGUUCUCUCCGAAAUAGCUUUAGGGCUAGCCUCAAGUGAUGAUUAUUGGAGGUAGAGCACUGUUUGGACGAGGGGCCCCUCUCGGGUUACCGAAUUCAGACAAACUCCGAAUGCCAAUUAAUUUAACUUGGGAGUCAGAACAUGGGUGAUAAGGUCCGUGUUCGAAAGGGAAACAGCCCAGACCACCAGCUAAGGUCCCAAAAUAUAUGUUAAGUGGAAAAGGAUGUGGCGUUGCCCAGACAACUAGGAUGUUGGCUUAGAAGCAGCCAUCAUUUAAAGAGUGCGUAAUAGCUCACUAGUCGAGUGACACUGCGCCGAAAAUGUACCGGGGCUAAACAUAUUACCGAAGCUGUGGAUUGUCCUUUGGACAAUGGUAGGAGAGCGUUCUAAGGGCGUUGAAGCAUGAUCGUAAGGACAUGUGGAGCGCUUAGAAGUGAGAAUGCCGGUGUGAGUAGCGAAAGACGGGUGAGAAUCCCGUCCACCGAUUGACUAAGGUUUCCAGAGGAAGGCUCGUCCGCUCUGGGUUAGUCGGGUCCUAAGCUGAGGCCGACAGGCGUAGGCGAUGGAUAACAGGUUGAUAUUCCUGUACCACCUAUAAUCGUUUUAAUCGAUGGGGGGACGCAGUAGGAUAGGCGAAGCGUGCGAUUGGAUUGCACGUCUAAGCAGUAAGGCUGAGUAUUAGGCAAAUCCGGUACUCGUUAAGGCUGAGCUGUGAUGGGGAGAAGACAUUGAGUCUUCGAGUCGUUGAUUUCACACUGCCGAGAAAAGCCUCUAGAUAGAAAAUAGGUGCCCGUACCGCAAACCGACACAGGUAGUCAAGAUGAGAAUUCUAAGGUGAGCGAGCGAACUCUCGUUAAGGAACUCGGCAAAAUGACCCCGUAACUUCGGGAGAAGGGGUGCUCUUUAGGGUUAACGCCCAGAAGAGCCGCAGUGAAUAGGCCCAAGCGACUGUUUAUCAAAAACACAGGUCUCUGCUAAACCGUAAGGUGAUGUAUAGGGGCUGACGCCUGCCCGGUGCUGGAAGGUUAAGAGGAGUGGUUAGCUUCUGCGAAGCUACGAAUCGAAGCCCCAGUAAACGGCGGCCGUAACUAUAACGGUCCUAAGGUAGCGAAAUUCCUUGUCGGGUAAGUUCCGACCCGCACGAAAGGCGUAACGAUUUGGGCACUGUCUCAACGAGAGACUCGGUGAAAUCAUAGUACCUGUGAAGAUGCAGGUUACCCGCGACAGGACGGAAAGACCCCGUGGAGCUUUACUGUAGCCUGAUAUUGAAAUUCGGCACAGCUUGUACAGGAUAGGUAGGAGCCUUUGAAACGUGAGCGCUAGCUUACGUGGAGGCGCUGGUGGGAUACUACCCUAGCUGUGUUGGCUUUCUAACCCGCACCACUUAUCGUGGUGGGAGACAGUGUCAGGCGGGCAGUUUGACUGGGGCGGUCGCCUCCUAAAAGGUAACGGAGGCGCUCAAAGGUUCCCUCAGAAUGGUUGGAAAUCAUUCAUAGAGUGUAAAGGCAUAAGGGAGCUUGACUGCGAGACCUACAAGUCGAGCAGGGUCGAAAGACGGACUUAGUGAUCCGGUGGUUCCGCAUGGAAGGGCCAUCGCUCAACGGAUAAAAGCUACCCCGGGGAUAACAGGCUUAUCUCCCCCAAGAGUUCACAUCGACGGGGAGGUUUGGCACCUCGAUGUCGGCUCAUCGCAUCCUGGGGCUGUAGUCGGUCCCAAGGGUUGGGCUGUUCGCCCAUUAAAGCGGUACGCGAGCUGGGUUCAGAACGUCGUGAGACAGUUCGGUCCCUAUCCGUCGUGGGCGUAGGAAAUUUGAGAGGAGCUGUCCUUAGUACGAGAGGACCGGGAUGGACAUACCUCUGGUGUACCAGUUGUCGUGCCAACGGCAUAGCUGGGUAGCUAUGUGUGGACGGGAUAAGUGCUGAAAGCAUCUAAGCAUGAAGCCCCCCUCAAGAUGAGAUUUCCCAACUUCGGUUAUAAGAUCCCUCAAAGAUGAUGAGGUUAAUAGGUUCGAGGUGGAAGCAUGGUGACAUGUGGAGCUGACGAAUACUAAUCGAUCGAAGACUUAAUCAA
rnacentral:rRNA from 1 species